UACGUAGGGACCGAGCGUUGUUCGGAAUUACUGGGCGUAAAGGGCGCGUAGGCGGCCUUCUAAGUCGGACGUGAAAUCCCUCGGCUCAACCGAGGAACUGCGUCCGAUACUGGUUGGCUUGAAUUCGGGAGAGGGAUGCGGAAUUCCAGGUGUAGCGGUGAAAUGCGUAGAUAUCUGGAGGAACACCGGUGGCGAAAGCGGCUCUCUGGCCCGGAUCUGACGCUGAGGCGCGAAAGCGUGGGGAGCAAACAGG
rnacentral:rRNA from 1 species